AUUGAACGCUGGCGGCAUGCUUUACACAUGCAAGUCGAACGGGCUGGGGGCGAACUCCAGUCAGUGGCGGAACGGGUGAGUAAUACAUCGGAACGUACCUCGUAGUGGGGAGUAACUCGGCGAAAGCCGUGCUAAUACCGCAUAUGCUCUACGGAGGAAAGCAGGGGACCGCAAGGCCUUGUGCUAUGGGAGCGGCCGAUGUCCGAUUAGCUAGUUGGUGAGGUAANGGCUCACCAAGGCGACGAUCGGUAGCUGGUCUGAGAGGAUGAUCAGCCACACUGGGACUGAGACACGGCCCAGACUCCUACGGGAGGCAGCAGUGGGGAAUUUUGACAAUGGGGGCAACCCUGAUCCAGCCAUGCCGCGUG
rnacentral:rRNA from 1 species